rnacentral:rRNA from 1 species
GACGAACGCUGGCGGCGUGCUUAACACAUGCAAGUCGAACGGACAGGCCCUGCUUUUGCGGGGUGCUCGAGUGGCGAACGGGUGAGUAACACGUGAGUAACCUGCCCUUGACUUUCUGAUAACUUCACGAAACUGGGGCUAAUACCCGAUAGGAUCUCCUGCUCCAUGGUGGUGGAUGGUAAAUUUCGGCGGUUGUGGCUCGACUCGCGGCUUAUCAGCUUGUUGGUGGGGUAGUGACUUACCAAGGCUUUGACGGAUAGCCGGCCUGAGAGGUUGACCAGCCACAUGGGGACUGAGAUACGGCCCAGAAUCCUACGGGAGGCAGCAGUGGGGAAUAUUGCACAAUGGGGGGAAGCCUGAUGCAGCAACGCCGCGUGCGGGAUGACGGCCUUCGGGUUGUAAACCGCUUUCGCCGGUGACGAAGCGUGAGUGACGGUAAUGGGUAAAGAAGCACCGGCUAACUACGUG